rnacentral:lncRNA from 1 species
CAAGUACUUCAAGCAUCAUCAAAUUCGAGUUAUGUGUUGUUUCGCAGAAUUUCGUCGUCGACCGUCAGCGUUUUGAUUCGUACUCGACGUAGGACUGUCGGAUUUUGACGAGAUUUGGUUCGUUGGAUUCGAGACUUCGAGAGGAAUCCAUGAAGCCCUUAUUUACUGGAUUUGGUGAAGGUUUGUUGGGUCGGAAUUAUAGUCUUCUCUACUGCUGUUUUGAGGCAGAUUUGAUGCUUAUUGCCGGAUUCUACGUGUAGAGUUGUCGGGAGCUUGACUUCGGGCCUUUGGAGGUUUUCGGUUGAUCCAGCCGGGUGUUCCCACUACAACAGAAUUAGGUUAUAGGGACACAUGUUUGGGACACUUUUGAGUAAGUGUCCCAUUUACGCUAAAACUUAAAAAAAUAUCUACUAAUGCCUAAAUAUAAAGUCCAAUCCAACCAAAAAUAAAAGAUUACUCUACUCAACCCACCACACCCAGUCCAUUUGGCCCGAUUACAAACAGAAAAGAAAAAAAAAAGAAAAAUCAAUUACCAUCUUUUCUUCUCUCUUCACUCAAUCCACUGAAAUUCUAGACGAAGAUCCUUUCUUGUCGUCCUCCUCCGCCACCGCAGCCAACAAGAUAGAGUUUCGGCGGUUGCUAAAUGCUUAAAUAAGUGUUGGUAAAUUAGCAGCAUUUUUUUAGGUUAUAGCGACACUCUUUAACUGUCACUAUAUACCUAGCGACCCCACAUAUAGCAACNGUAAAUUAGCAGCAUUUUUUUAGGUUAUAGCGACACUCUUUAACUGUCACUAUAUACCUAGCGACCCCACAUAUAGCAACACUUUUUAAAAGUGUCGGUAAUUUUAGUUAGCAGCACUUUUUUGACAUGUACCUAUAUUUAAAAGUGUCGCUAUAGACCGUUUUUAUUGUAGUGUCCUUUGCUUCGGGACUUCCUCGCUGCCUGGGAUUAGCUCGCGAGGUGGGUUAUAUCGGUUUAUUCCUAAGUAUCGUAAUAGUCAACAUGUAUGAUUUUCAGUUUUGUAUAUCAUGUGUAGCUCAAUUUCGUCGAUUAUAUCUUGAUGAAAUCCGAUUUGAGAACAUGAUUAGUAAACCCUAAAUAUACAUGUUGGACGUGGAUUUGACUUAGGAGAAAACGCGAUAACGAUCGGCACAUGUAAACUACCUGAUUUAGCCCUAGG